rnacentral:rRNA from 1 species
UACGUAGGGGGCAAGCGUUGUCCGGAAUCAUUGGGCGUAAAGAGCGUGUAGGCGGCCAGAAAAGUCCGCUGUGAAAACUCGAGGCUCAACUUCGAGCUGUCGGUGGAAACUUUCUGGCUAGAGUCCGGAAGAGGAGAAUGGAAUUCCUGGUGUAGCGGUGAAAUGCGCAGAUAUCAGGAAGAACACCCGUGGCGAAGGCGGUUCUCUGGGACGGUACUGACGCUGAGGCGCGAAAGCUAGGGGAGCAAACGGG